rnacentral:lncRNA from 1 species
CUUCGCCCACGCCCCCCACCAAGGCUAUAGCCCACCCGUUUUUUGGCCAUUUUUCCGCUGGGGGGUCUUGGCGCCCCGACCUUCGUGGGCUGAAUUUUGGGCGCGGGUGUGCCCGUGGCCUAUUUUUUGCACACGGAGGCCUUCCGCAAAGUCUGGGGCCAUUCCGAGUCCCGCGGACGAACUUCGCCCACGCCCCCCACCAAGGCUAUAGCCCACCCGUUUUUUGGCCAUUUUUCCGCUGGGGGGUCUUGGCGCCCCGACCUUCGGGGGCUGAAUUUUGGGCGCGGGUGUGCCCGUGGCCUAUUUUUGGCACACGGAGGCCGCCCGCAAAGUCUGGGGCCAUUCCGAGUCCGGCGGGCGAACUUCGCCCACGCCCCCCACCAAGGCUAUAGCCCACCCGUUUUUUGGCCAUUUUUCCGCUGGGGGGUCUUGGCGCCCCGACCUUCGGGGGCUGAAUUUUGGGCGCGGGUGUGCCCGUGGCCUAUUUUUGGCACACGGAGGCCGCCCGCAAAGUCUGGAGCCAUUCCGAGUCCGGCGGACAAACUUCGCCCACGUCCCCCACCAAGGCUAUAGCCCACCCGUUUUUUGGCCAUUUUUCCGCUGGGGGGUCUUGGCGCCCCGACCUUCGGGGGCUGAAUUUUGGGCGCGGGUGUGCCCGUGGCCUAUUUUUGGCACACGGAGGCCGCCCGCAAAGUCUGGGGCCAUUCCGAGUCCGGCGGACGAACUUCGCCCACGCCCCCCACCAAGGCUAUAGCCCACCCGUUUUUUGGCCAUUUUUCCGCUAGGGGGUCUUGGCGCCCCGACCUUCGGGGGCUGAUUUUUGGGCGCGGGUGUGCCCGUGGCCUAUUUUUGGCACACGGAGGCCGCCCGCAAAGUCUGGGGCCAUUCCGAGUCCGGCGGACGAACUUCGCCCACGCCCCCCACCAAGGCUAUAGCCCACCCGUUUUUUGGCCAUUUUUCCGCUGGGGGGUCUUGGCGCCCCGACCUUCGGGGGCUGAUUUUUGGGCGCGGGUGUGCCCGUGGCCUAUUUUUGGCACACGGAGGCCGCCCGCAAAGUCUGGGGCCAUUCCGAGUCCGGCGGACGAACUUCGCCCACGCCCCCCACCAAGGCUAUAGCCCACCCGUUUUUUGGCCAUUUUUCCGCUGGGGGGUCUUGGCUCCCCGACCUUCGGGGGCUGAUUUUUGGGCGCGGGUGUGCCCGUGGCCUAUUUUUGGCACACGGAGGCCGCCCGCAAAGUCUGGGGCCAUUCCGAGUCCGGCGGACGAACUUCGCCCACGCCCCCCACCAAGGCUAUAGCCCACCCGUUUUUUGGCCAUUUUUCCGCUGGGGGGUCUUGGCGCCCCGACCUUCGGGGGCUGAUUUUUGGGCGCGGGUGUGCCCGUGGCCUAUUUUUGGCACACGGAGGCCGCCCGCAAAGUCUGGGGCCAUUCCGAGUCCGGCGGACGAACUUCGCCCACGCCCCGCACCAAGGCUAUAGCCCACCCGUUUUUUGGCCAUUUUUCCGCUGGGGGGUCUUGGCGCCCCGACCUUCGGGGGCUGAAUUUUGGGCGCGGGUGUGCCCGUGGCCUAUUUUUGGCACACGGAGGCCGCCCGCAAAGUCUGGGGCCAUUCCGAGUCCGGCGGACGAACUUCGCCCACGCCCCCCACCAAGGCUAUAGCCCACCCGUUUUUUGGCCAUUUUUCCGCUGGGGGGUCUUGGCGCCCCGACCUUCGGGGGCUGAUUUUUGGGCGCGGCUGUGCCCGUGGCCUAUUUUUGGCACACGGAGGCCGCCCGCAAAGUCUGGGGCCAUUCCGAGUCCGGCGGACGAACUUCGCCCACCACCCCCACCAAGGCUAUAGCCCACCCGUUUUUUGGCCAUUUAUCCGCUGGGGGGUCUUGGCGCCCCGACCUUCGGGGGCUGAAUUUUGGGCGCGGGUGUGCCCGUGGCCUAUUUUUGGCACACGGAGGCCGCCCGCAAAGUCUGGGGCCAUUCCGAGUCCGGCGGACGAACUUCGCCCACGCCCCCCACCAAGGCUAUAGCCCACCCGUUUUUUGGCCAUUUUUCCGCUGGGGGGUCUUGGCGCCCCGACCUUCGGGGGCUGAUUUUUGGGCGCGGGUGUGCCCGUGGCCUAUUUUUGGCACACGGAGGCCGCCCGCAAAGUCUGGGGCCAUUCCGAGUCCGGCGGACGAACUUCGCCCACGCCCCCCACCAAGGCUAUAGCCCACCCGUUUUUUGGCCAUUUUUCCGCUGGGGGGUCUUGGCUCCCCGACCUUCGGGGGCUGAUUUUUGGGCGCGGGUGUGCCCGUGGCCUAUUUUUGGCACACGGAGGCCGCCCGCAAAGUCUGGGGCCAUUCCGAGUCCGGCGGACGAACUUCGCCCACGCCCCCCACCAAGGCUAUAGCCCACCCGUUUUUUGGCCAUUUUUCCGCUGGGGGGUCUUGGCGCCCCGACCUUCGGGGGCUGAAUUUUGGGCGCGGGUGUGCCCGUGGCCUAUUUUUUGCACACGGAGGCCGCCCGCAAAGUCUGGGGCCAUUCCGAGUCCGGCGGACGAACUUCGCCCACGCCCCCCACCAAGGCUAUAGCCCACCCGUUUUUUGGCCAUUUUUCCGCUGGGGGGUCUUGGCGCCCCGACCUUCGGGGGCUGAAUUUUGGGCGCGGGUGUGCCCGUGGCCUAUUUUUGGCACACGGAGGCCGCCCGCAAAGUCUGGGGCCAUUCCGAGUCCGGCGGACGAACUUCGCCCACGCCCCCCACCAAGGCUAUAGCCCACCCGUUUUUUGGCCAUUUUUCCGCUGGGGGGUCUUGGCGCCCCGACCUUCAGGGGCUGAUUUUUGGGCGCGGGUGUGCCCGUGGCCUAUUUUUGGCAAACGGAGGCCGCCCGCAGAGUCUGGGGCCAUUCCGAGUCCGGCGGACGAGCUUCGCCCACGCCCCCCACCAAGGCUAUAGCCCACCCGUUUUUUGGCCAUUUUUCCGCUGGGGGGUCUUGGCGCCCCGACCUUCGGGGGCUGAUUUUUGGGCGCGGGUGUGCCCGUGGCCUAUUUUUGGCACACGGAGGCCGCCCGCAAAGUCUGGGGCCAUUCCGAGUCCGGCGGACGAACUUCGCCCACGCCCCCCACCAAGGCUAUAGCCCACCCGUUUUUUGGCCAUUUUUCCGCUGGGGGGUCUUGGCGCCCCGACCUUCGGGGGCUGAUUUUUGGGCGCGGGUGUGCCCGUGGCCUAUUUUUGGCAUACGGAGGCCGCCCGCAAAGUCUGGGGCCAUUCCGAGUCCGGCGGACGAACUUCGCCCACGCCCCCCACCAAGGCUAUAGCCCACCCGUUUUUUGGCCAUUUUUCCGCUGGGGGGUCUUGGCUCCCCGACCUUCGGGGGCUGAUUUUUGGGCGCGGGUGUGCCCGUGGCCUAUUUUUGGCACACGGAGGCCGCCCGCAAAGUCUGGGGCCAUUCCGAGUCCGGCGGACGAACUUCGCCCACGCCCCCCACCAAGGCUAUAGCCCACCCGUUUUUUGGCCAUUUUUCCGCUGGGGGGUCUUGGCGCCCCGACCUUCGGGGGCUGAAUUUUGGGCGCGGGUGUGCCCGUGGCCUAUUUUUGGCACACGGAGGCCGCCCGCAAAGUCUGGGGCCAUUCCGAGUCCGGCGGACGAACUUCGCCCACGCCCCCCACCAAGGCUAUAGCCCACCCGUUUUUUGGCCAUUUUUCCGCUGGGGGGACUUGGCUCCCCGACCUUCGGGGGCUGAUUUUUGGGCGCGGGUGUGCCCGUGGCCUAUUUUUGGCACACGGAGGCCGCCCGCAAAGUCUGGGGCCAUUCCGAGUCCGGCGGACGAACUUCGCCCACGCCCCCCACCAAGGCUAUAGCCCACCCGUUUUUUGGCCAUUUUUCCGCUGGGGGGUCUUGGCGCCCCGACCUUCGGGGGCUGAAUUUUGGGCGCGGGUGUGCCCGUGGCCUAUUUUUGGCACACGGAGGCCGCCCGCAAAGUCUGGGGCCAUUCCGAGUCCGGCGGACGAACUUCGCCCACGCCCCCCACCAAGGCUAUAGCCCACCCGUUUUUUGGCCAUUUUUCCGCUGGGGGGUCUUGGCGCCCCGACCUUCGGGGGCUGAAUUUUGGGCGCGGGUGUGCCCGUGGCCUAUUUUUGGCACACGGAGGCCGCCCGCAAAGUCUGGGGCCAUUCCGAGUCCGGCGGACGAACUUCGCCCACGCCCCCCACCAAGGCUAUAGCCCACCCGUUUUUUGGCCAUUUUUCCGCUGGGGGGUCUUGGCGCCCCGACCUUCGGGGGCUGAAUUUUGGGCGCGGGUGUGUCCGUGGCCUAUUUUUGGCACACGGAGGCCGCCCGCAAAGUCUGGGGCCAUUCCGAGUCCGGCGGACGAACUUCGCCCACGCCCCCCACCAAGGCUAUAGCCCACCCGUUUUUUGGCCAUUUUUCCGCUGGGGGGUCUUGGCGCCCCGACCUUCGGGGGCUGAAUUUUGGGCGCGGGUGUGCCCGUGGCCUAUUUUUGGCACACGGAGGCCGCCCGCAAAGUCUGGGGCCAUUCCGAGUCCGGCGGACGAGCUUCGCCCACACCCCCCACCAAGGCUAUAGCCCACCCGUUUUUUGGCCAUUUUUCCGCUGGGGGGUCUUGGCGCCCCGACCUUCGGGGGCUGAAUUUUGGGCGCGGGUGUGCCCGUGGCCUAUUUUUGGCACACGGAGGCCGCCCGCAAAGUCUGGGGCCAUUCCGAGUCCGGCGGACGAACUUCGCCCACGCCCCCCACCAAGGCUAUAGCCCACCCGUUUUUUGGCCAUUUUUCCGCUGGGGGGUCUUGGCGCCCCGACCUUCGGGGGCUGAUUUUUGGGCGCGGGUGUGCCCGUGGCCUAUUUUUGGCACACGGAGGCCGCCCGCAAAGUCUGGGGCCAUUCCGAGUCCGGCGGACGAACUUCGCCCACGCCCCCCACCAAGGCUAUAGCCCACCCGUUUUUUGGCCAUUUUUCCGCUGGGGGGUCUUGGCGCCCCGACCUUCGGGGGCUGAAUUUUGGGCGCGGGUGUGCCCGUGGCCUAUUUUUGGCACACGGAGGCCGCCCGCAAAGUCUGGGGCCAUUCCGAGUCCGGCGGACGAACUUCGCCCACGCCCCCCACCAAGGCUAUAGCCCACCCGUUUUUUGGCCAUUUUUCCGCUGGGGGGUCUUGGCGCCCCGACCUUCGGGGGCUGAAUUUUGGGCGCGGGUGUGCCCGUGGCCUAUUUUUGGCACACGGAGGCCGCCCGCAAAGUCUGGGGCCAUUCCGAGUCCGGCGGACGAACUUCGCCCACGCCCACCACCAAGGCUAUAGCCCACCCGUUUUUUGGCCAUUUUUCCGCUGGGGGGUCUUGGCGCCCCGACCUUCGGGGGCUGAAUUUUGGGCGCGGGUGUGCCCGUGGCCUAUUUUUGGCACACGGAGGCCGCCCGCAAAGUCUGGGGCCAUUCCGAGUCCGGCGGACGAGCUUCGCCCACGCCCCCCACCAAGGCUAUAGCCCACCCGUUUUUUGGCCAUUUUUCCGCUGGGGGGUCUUGGCGCCCCGACCUUCGGGGGCUUAAUUUUGGGCGCGGGUGUGCCCGUGGCCUAUUUUUGGCACACGGAGGGCGCCCGCAAAGUCUGGGGCCAUUCCGAGUCCGGCGGACGAACUUCGCCCACGUCCCCCACCAAGGCUAUAGCCCACCCAUUUUUUGGCCAUUUUUCCGCUGGGGGGUCUUGGCGCCCCGACCUUCGGGGGCUGAUUUUUGGGCGCGGGUGUGCCCGUGGCCUAUUUUUGGCACAC